ensembl:lncRNA
GCGAUGUAGAGUUUUAUAAGUAACGAGGGAGCAGACUAAGGUGAUUAGAACACAAUGGAAUGUCAAGUCUGUAAAUCUUUAAACCAUGAAGAUGGUUGGAUAGGUCAGGACUCGGGCUUCUUUUUAUUAUGGGCAGUCCUUUCACUCGGAUGCCCACUUCUCACUGGACCUGUACAUGUGUUGGCUGGCUGGCAUUAUUUGCUGUUGGUGAUGAGGCGGUCAGGAUGACGUUGCAGGGCUAUGGUCGGCUCUCUGUGAGCUCAACGUUUAGAUUCGCUCUGUAUGGUUUGUACCCUGAAUAAUCGAGAUAAUUGUAAAAUAUAGACACGGUUUUGUAUUGAAUGAUUCCAGGAUUUUAGGUUUAAGGUUGUUGUGGGAUGUACAUUGUAGUUUGGUUCUUCGUAUGGUUUUGAGUGAUAUAAAUUGUACACACUGGGUGCAUAACAAUGUAAAGGUACACUGAAUAGUAGUAAUUACCAACAGCAACAAAGGGAUCUCCUCAAGGUAAGUCUGUUGGCUGUGUUUUAAUGAAGACCAUCGCUGGACUUCAGGAUCUUCCUCCGUUCAGCUCAAGGUGAGGCGCUGGUUCUGUUUUUUCUUUGGUUGGUUCCGGCCGGAAUGUUCGUAUUCCAGUCGGACGGUUUGUGCUUCCCGCCGGGAAGGUUCUGAGUGCGGUCACUUGAUUUAGUCCCAAUGGUUAGCAUAGAUUGUAGUCUUGACAACCAUAAGAAACCACCUGGCAGUUAGUUGGACGGGAGUCCCCUGAGGGAAUCUGGAGGAACGUUCUGGAUUGUAUUUGCGUAACCUCGAGCCGUUGCCUACGGAAACUAUUUUUCAGUCGGUUUCCAUUGGGAAUUGUUGCCCCCUAUCCUAAACAACUUUAAGUUUGGUAUUAAAUACAUACUGAGACGUACGUCGUACAAUAUGUUGAUAAUUUCCGAUGGUUGCGCCGUACGUUUAACCACGAUGACGUGACGGGACUCUCACUGCGUACAAAACAGCGUUCUACUUGCGGGCCCAUUUUUGACAUCGGGGAAGGCUGAAAAUCAUUUCAAGGUGGAAGAUGAUUGGACAUUUCUUCAACGGAACCCAGCACCUGAAUAUGGCUGAGUAUAUUUGAUUUAAUAACGAUACUGCUUAGUGUUCUUUGUUACUUCAGCUUUUGUACGUUCUAAAUAUCUGCUGUCAUUAAUUGCCACAGAAGUUAAACCCUACCCAAUGGAAUGACGUUAAACAACGACUUGGUGCAGAGUUACGAACUGGAUAAUAUCAAAGCUAAAAUAAUGGCCUUCAUUCCCACAUGUUGCAGUAGAAAAUACUCUAGAACUGUACAAGGUUAAAAAGGUAACAUGUAGUUUGUCCCAAGGUGUCUGCCUCCUCACCCAGAGUAAGACCUCCACCUCCUCACCCAGAGCCAGACCUCCACCUCCUGUCAGAAGUCCUCCAGAACAGCUGAAAGGCGAGGCUGAGAGGCUGGGGACCGCAGGCUUGUGGUGCCAGGGUAAACCGGAGACUGAGGCUGGAGACCAGGGGCCUGCAGCACCGGACCAGAGGACCAGGAAUCCAUGGCUGGAGGAGCCGUGCUGAUGGAGGAGCCGUGCUGACGGAGCUGAUGGAGGAGCCGUGAUGAAGGAGCUGAUGGAGGAGCCGUGCUGAAGGAGCUGAUGGAGGAGCCGUGCUGAAGGAGCUGAUGGAGGAGCCGUGAUGAAGGAGCUGAUGGAGGAGCCGUGCUGACGGAGCUGAUGGAGGAGCCGUGAUGAAGGAGCUGAUGGAGGAGCCGUGCUGAAGGAGCUGAUGGAGGAGCCGUGCUGAUGGAGGAGUCAUGCUGAAGGCCCUGCAUUGUGGAGGAGCUGGUGGAGGCCCUGCCUGGUGAAGGACAUCUGUCGUGAGACCAGGACUCUGUCUUAGGAGAGCUGCCGGAGGAGCUGAGACGCUGGAGGACGACUAGGAAUCGACCAACAAGGAUUCCUCAACGUGUUGCUGGUAGGCGAGCCUUGAAUCUGGAGGAUGACCAUCACUCUACCAACAAGGAUUAACAGGAAUCUGGAGGACUGAUGGAGAAGCCGUACAUCUGGAAGGCAAAUCCUGAGGACCACCAGGACUCUACCAUCAAGGAUACAUUCAAGUUUGCAUUAUCUGGACAUAGUGGACUAGACGCACCUGAGCUGAACCUCACCUGAUCCUGUUUGGUCGGGGGUAGACGCACCUGAGCUAAACCCGCCCUGAUCCUGACAUCCUGCUGGUCCCGUCUCCUCAGUUCAUCUGAGCCUCGUCCUCCAGAAGACCUGCUGAGCUCAGCAGUCUGAGGCUGAACGAUCAAUGACCUCCAGUGGGAGUGAUCUUCUUGACCCCACAUGUAACCGUGUGCUUCCACACGCCUCUCCCUCACGUCUGUCACUAACCUCACUACUUCACUACUCUCUACUGCUUCCUCUUUUCUUCCUUCUCUGUGGUUCAAACCGUUACACUGAAGGCGCGUCUUCCUGCCCUCAGAGGGUUUAGCGUUAGGGUUGAGAGUCAGGGUUUAGAGUCAGGGACAGAGCUGGUCAGGGAGGACUGCUUUUACACAAACCUCUUCAUUUGCUUUCGGAAUGGUGGUGACAUUUUGAAAA